rfam:Trichobilharzia regenti genome assembly, scaffold: TRE_scaffold0005542
AUUAAGUCAUGCAUGUCUAAGUGCAUACAAUGAAAUAGUGAAUCUGCUAACGGCUCAUUAAAUCAGUUAUGGUUCCUAUAGAUAACUAGUACUUGUGGGACUAAUACAAGCAAUUAUGCACUGAUUCUCAACUGAACGGGCGCAUUUAUUAGAAGAGAACUAAGUGGGGGCAGUUUUAUUUGUCUCUGUUGAAUCCUGUAAUGAAUCCCAAUAAAUGUAAUCAUCACAGUCGGCCUUAAAUCGGUUCCAGAUCUUUCAAAUGUCUACCCUAUUAAUUUGUUGGUUAAUGAUAUGCUCACCAUGAUUAUAACGGAUAAUCAACAGUGACAUGAUUAUGAAUAAUAAGUUCUGUUCAAAAGGUCAUCCAGUAGGUA